GACGAACGCUGGCGGCGUGCCUAAUACAUGCAAGUAGGACGCAGUUGCGAACGGGUGAGUAACGCGUAGGUAACUACCUAUUAGAGGGGGAUAACUAUUGGAAACGAUAGCUAAUACCGCAUACUAGUAGCUGGACCUGCGGUGUAUUAGCUAGUAGGUAGGGUAAUGGCCUACCUAGGCAACGAUACCAAGCCGACCCGGGGAGGGUAGCGGCCACACUGGGACUGGGACACGGCCCCGACUCCUACGGGACGCAGCAGUAGGGAAUCUUCGGCAAUUGGGGGAACCCUGACCGGGCAACGCCGCGUGAGUGAAGUAGGUUUUCGGAUCGUAAAGCUCUGUUGUUAAGGAAGCGGUACUUAACCAGAAAGGGACGGCUAACUACGUGCCAGCAGCCGCGGUAAUAC
rnacentral:rRNA from 1 species